UGAGCUGAAGGAACGUCUGAAGCCGGAGCUUCUGGAACUCAUCAGACAGCAGAGACUAAACCGUCUGUGUCACGGGACGCGAGGCAAGACAAGCUGUGGUAUUGUCGUCUCUCUCCUAAUCUCAAAGUCCUGCACUACGGAGAUGUGGAUGAGGAGACGGAAACGCCCUCCAUCGAGGCUCUUCAUGAAAAGAGUAAGUGCACUCACACAUAAUGUGUUAAAUUUUAACACAUGUGCUGAAUCAGCUCAGGGACAACACAUAUUGUGUAAAAUUUGACACAUCUGUUCUAAGAGUUUGAAAACACUGCAUGAGUAUAUUGGCGUGAUUUGAUACUUUGUCAUGUCACAUAAUCAUGUUUUCAACUUACACUUGAUGUACAUAACCUUAACCUCUCAUUGUAUUUUUGGUUUAUCUUCUCCUUUUCCCCAUUAGUUCGAAAAUACAGUAUCACUAGGAUUUAACAUCAGUAUUUUGGGGGGGAAGAUAAUCAUGUUUCCAUUUGAAAGGAUUUAGCAUUUUAUCAGGGGCCAGAUUUUCGCACUUCUUUGUAUGUUAAAUUUAAAAUAGUUUUGAGA